AAGACAGUUGGGUUUGGGCUUGCUUCCACCAUCUUAGCUUUAACUAACACAGAGAUACGUCGGUUAAAAUUGACCGGAAUUGAAUUCCAAACUAAAAACAAUAUGUUAUUCCUACCCUGGCAAAUAAAAUUUAGACGGCAGCAAUUGGCAAAUUAGUACCACACUUACAAAAAGAACGUGACGUACGAAAAAACAGCAAUAGAGUUGGCUUUUGGCUAACGUCUGAAGUUGCCAGUUCGCUGAAAUUGUGAAAAAAAAAAUUGGACGUGAUUACGUGAACUAGUAACAGUUUUUUCAUGGCGGCUUAUGGAGUUUUGACUAGUCUGUAUCACUCUGCCAGAGCUAUAGCUCUGACUGACUGACUCUACUGCAAGUCUGCAAUGUUGAAAAUCACUAUUUUGUGGCAACAUUGUGUUUUGUAGCAGACGAAUUUUUCUUAAGUCUGAUGUUAAUUUAAAGUGGUGAACUGGUGAUUGAACUUGGACGUGUUCUUCGUGAUCGAUGUACUCUGCCCAUCAAGUACCCUUUGCCGGAAGUGAUUAUUAUCCUUCGUGAGCAGAGUCGUUGGAUGAAUUGAGGACUUGCAACGACGUCAUUCUGAAAGAGUUAAAUGUCCGUCCUCUCAAGAAGCUGACCACCGAGAAGAACACGUUUGGAGUUAGCCUUUACGUGCAUAGCUGGAUCAUCACACUGGGGCGUGACUUGAAGGCCAAUUCAAGGCUGUCAUGGCUGCAAAUCCUGCAAUCAAGUCCCUGACAAUGAACAGCUCCAAGGAUUCUUAACCGAAGGUCAGAUCAAUGUUUUGGGAAAUGUUAUGGCUUCCAGAGGAUUUGCAGAUGUUUUACCAGUUCAAUUGUGACGGAGCUGCUGAAUAGGCCCACCAAUAUGAGACUCAAGCAGAAAAGACGUGUUGGUGUUGUUAAAUGUAGUCCAGAAGGUCAAAGCAUUAAGGACGAAGGUUUGGCCCGAGAUUAAUUUGGUCAAAAACAGCGCAGGGAAGCU